rnacentral:lncRNA from 1 species
CAGGCGCUCUGCCUCCAGCAAGAGGUGGCUCUGGGGGACAGCUCUCCAUGGGGGACAGCUCUCCAUGGGCUUGGACACCCGUGCUCCCAGACAACAGCUUCUGCCGUGCUCCCAGAUGAGAGCCAGAGCCCUGCCUAUCGGGAGGCCACACUCAUGCCCAAGACUUCUAGGCCUCAGCAGUGCUCCCAAGGGUGUGGCACCAGGUGAAGCAGGGCAGGUGGAAUGCAGGAGCAGGCAGGAAAACCCAGCUCUUCCAAGUCAGACACUGGAGAGCUCUGCAGACACGAAGACAAUGCCAUGCCUCCCCCUAAAUGCUUUUUGUUUUGGAAAAUAUAGCUGUUCGUCAUAAGGUAUUUACGUUGACGUA